rnacentral:rRNA from 1 species
GUGCGAACCAUGAGGUUAGCCUCACGGAACGUCGCCGAUUCUACGCCGCCUAGAAAAGCCCCGUUAGUGAGAAUUUGAGACGUCCGUACCGCAAACCGACACAGGUAUGUAGGGGUAAGUGUCCCCAGGUGAACGAGCGAACCCUCGUUAAGGAAUUCGACAACUUGACCCUGUAACUUUGGGAGAAAGGGUGCCCGCGGGGUGAAACCCACUUGCUGGGUGGAUGCCCCUGCGGGUCGCAGUGAAGAGGCCCAGGCGACUGUUUAUCAAAAACACAGGUCCGUGCUAAACCGAAAGGUGAUGUAUACGGGCUGACGCCUGCCCAGUGCCGGUAGGUUAAGGAAGGCGGUGAGAGCUGCCGACUGAAGCCCCGGUGAACGGCGGCCGUAACUAUAACGGUCCUAAGGUAGCGAAAUCCCUUGUCGGGUAAGUUCCGACCCGCACGAAUGGCGUAACGACUUGAGCACUGUCUCAACGAGGGACUCGGUGAAAUUGCAGGACCCGUGAAGAUGCGGGUUACGCGCAGCAGGACAAAAAGACCCCGUGGAGCUUUACUGCAGCUUGACAUUGGUUCGAGCUUUAACCUGUGUAGGAUAGGCGGGAGACUAUGAAUUAGAUGCGCCAGCAUUUAAGGAGUCGCCCUUGAAAUACCGCCCUGAUUACAGUUUGAAUCUAACUUUUACUAGAACAGUGUCUGGUGGGCAGUUUGACUGGGGCGGUCGCCUCCCAAAGAGUAACGGAGGCGCACAAAGGUCACCUCAGGCUGGAUGGAAAUCAGCCUUAGAGCGUAUUGGUAUAAGGUGGCUUGACUGCGAGACAUACAAGUCGAGCAGGGACGAAAGUCGGUCAAAAUGAUCCCACGGUACCGUGUGGAAGGGCCGUGGCUUAAC